UUCAUAAUUUUACUUCUUGUUCCGAGCUCUGCAAAUUAGGGUUUGCUGUUGUGAUCUCUGAUGAAGUUAUAAAGAUCAAGGCAAGUAGGGAAUAGAGACGGUGUGUGAUUGGUGGAAAGGAAAAGCGAGUACGGAUAAAUUUUGGGGUGUGAAUUUGAGCAAUGACGGGUUGACACACAUGCAGCAGUCCUUUGUAGACAGUAAUCUUGAAGAUGAUGGGACACAAGAUCGUGAGCUUCUGGUACGUACUGGUUUUUGUCAUUUGUAAGACACGUUUCGUACUCAAAUUGGAACCUCGUUUGGCAAUUCACAUGCCAAAUCGGCCCUUUACCACGCUAUUUUGUCUCAUUAUUGUAACAUUGAACAAUGAUCAAGAAACCGAAGCACCUCCAUCGUUCAUGUCC